UGAGUGGCCAGGAGCUGAUCUACGCUGCCAUGCCCAUGAAAGACUUAAUCUCCAGCCUCACCUCUUGCCUGCUCACUAUUGAUCAUUUGAUGGGGAGACCAGAAUUAGAUGGAGAGGACUGGAGAGUGCUUUUGGCAGAUGCCAGCAUCGGUCAUUUGAUGGGGAGACCAUAAUUGGAAACAUGUAUGGAGCCAGCACAUGGAGACUUGCAAGAUAAAGUGAUGAAGUCCAGACUGACAGACAGGCUUGAUGCUGAUGUCUCUAAAUGGAGAAAGACCUGGCACUCAGCAUGAAAAUGUUACUAGACACAACUUUUACGUAUAUUGUAUUUUUUAAUUACUGAAUUGAAUGGUAUCAGUCAA